ACUAGUUGUCUCGUUCUAGAAUCUGGAGAAGGAGACUAGUACAUUGGGCUGCAAAGUUGGCAUGCUUUCCCUAUGAGUGCCUACACGAGGAUCUGGCAUGCCAUGAAUCAUCUCUCCUUCUGUCUCCUGGUGCCUGCACAUAUUCACAGAUUAUUCUCUGGAUCCAGAGUGCAAGUAAGUGAUUCUGGAACAGGAGGUGGCUGGAAGUGUCUUUCUCUCUUGAGCAGACUUCAUUCCAAUUGAAUUAAGACAUCAGCAAAGCGCAUUUAAGUGGACAUCUAAUCCUACCAUGAAAAUCAUCAGGUAAGGACAUUCCCGCCCUGAAAACAAGAAAGAAGGAGGUCUGUUCUUUCCAAAUGUACUCAGGGCAGGUGAGGAGACACCUCUUCUGGGUAGGGUAGAAGAGGGUGGGGGUAGGUUUGGCUUGGCCGGGGUUUUGAAGAAAUUCAGAUGGCCAUGCACACACAUACUGAAAGCAGCCCACGUAGUUCUCUGUUGUCACCAUGUGAGCGCGGCUGAACUUCGUGCCCAGGACUCAUACCUGGUGAGUAGUUGUCCCUAUGUUCGCUUUGUCUUUUCUUUAUACGUGUGUGAAGGAGUGAAGGGAGGGGAGGCAGCUCAGACCUCCUGAGAAUGGGAAAUGCCAUUUUGUCUUCCCUUUUACAUUUUUUGUGUGUGUGCCCUGAGAGAGCUUGAGAGAGAGAGCAGGAGAGAGAGAGAAGCAGAAAAAGCAAGAGGGAGAGGGAAAGAUUUGAAGACGCAAGAACACAGGACCCUGGAGACCAUCUGUGGGACCGCAGCCCUUUGUGUCAGGGGAGCAGGUGCUCCAUUUUACACCCGUGUGUCAGGAAUGGGGGACAUCCCAACCCCCACCGCGAAAAGGAAAGUGCUCCAGGCUGUCUGCUCCCCUCGCUGCCCUAGCCUUGCCCGGCCAGUGAUGACUGCCCCAGGUGUCUGUUCCAGUCCUACAAGAGCUCCAGGCUUUCCCAGGCUGCACCACCUGCUCAGAAGUGAGGCCUGGCAGGAGGAGAGGGAGAAGCAGAGGCUGGAGCCUUUCCUGCCGCUGAGCCUUCUUCUUGAGACGUCACUCAGGACAUGCAGGCACUUUCAAACAUCCCAUUUCCAAAAUGGUGUGGGUGGGCAGUCCGGUGGCCUGGGAUAG
rnacentral:lncRNA from 1 species